rnacentral:sRNA from 1 species
GAAGCCGAGGUCCUGGUCGCGGUGUACCGG